GGCUUCUCCAGUCCCCUUCUUCCGCCCCUCCAGGUUGGAGUUAAACAUAUCGCAGGGAGAGUCAGAAGGGGUGAAGGUCGAGGCUCGGGAUGGAAGAAUUGGUCCCGGGCCGCCCGGGUGCAGACGGCGGGCUCAGGGACCCAGCGGAAGGCCGGCCGGGCACGCCCCCCCGCCCCCUGCUCCGCGCCCGCCGCCGCCUCUUCCUCCCGGCGCGAGCGGGCGGCGCGCUCCGGAGGGAGAGCGGGGCCGGAGGAGGUUUGCUACCCCCUCGGCGUCCAGCACCUGCCCCGCGCCGCUCCGCGCCCGCCCCGACUGGGCAUCCGGGGGCUCCCGCACCUUUCUCCCCCCGGGCCGGGGAGCCAGCCAGGGGGCAGCGCCGGAGCCCGGGGGGAGCGCGGCCCCGCCGGCCGGCCGGCCCGCCCGGGCUGGGGGCAGCUAGGACGGCCCCGGGUAAGCGGCGGGAGGCGGGCGGGCUGGGGCCGGGCUGGGUCGGUGGGGGUGUGGAGGGGGGCCGGCCGGGCCGAUGGGGGCCAGGGACGCGGAGGGAGGAGGGGGCCGGCAGGCUGGCAGGGAAGCGGCGCGGGGCGGCCACGUGAGCGCUGGUGCGGGGGGUGGGGGGGUGCCUGCAAGGUGCUGGAGGCGGAGAGCCGGCAGGGCUCCGGCCUCCCCCCGCCCCUCCGCUCCUACCAGUCAGGUCGUAGGGAACCCAGCAUCCUCCGACGCCCCCACGCACCCACCCACCCACUCCCACAUGAAUGUGAUGGGCACCAACAGCGGGCCGACGUGGUGCCUCGGUCCACGGGACUUGCAACCCCCCACCCCCAAGCCCUCAGCUUGGGGCUGGGACUCAGGUGUCCGGGCCCCCGGGAGGGGAACCAGAAGCAGGCUUUGGCCCCAGUGUCUGUCCCUGGGCGCCGUCUGCAGACUCACUGCAGAGUACAGGCCUUGGGAAGGGAGGCUGAGGGGUGCCUGGGCCCUGCUUCUCUGGACAGUCCUCUUCCACCACCACCACCACCCCCCGCUGCUGGGGAUGUUGGAUUAAUAAACACUCAGACCCAGGACCCCUGCCUGGGAAGCGGGAGGGGGGGCCCCGGUCAUGUCUGA
rnacentral:lncRNA from 1 species